rnacentral:rRNA from 1 species
AGGGAAUCUUCGGCAAUGGACGAAAGUCUGACCGAGCAACGCCGCGUGAGUGAAGAAGGUUUUCGGAUCGUAAAGCUCUGUUGUAAGAGAAGAACGGGUGUGAGAGUGGAAAGUUCACACUGUGACGGUAUCUUACCAGAAAGGGACGGCUAACUACGUGCCAGCAGCCGCGGUAAUACGUAGGUCCCGAGCGUUGUCCGGAUUUAUUGGGCGUAAAGCGAGCGCAGGCGGUUAGAUAAGUCUGAAGUUAAAGGCUGUGGCUUAACCAUAGUACGCUUUGGAAACUGUUUAACUUGAGUGCAGAAGGGGGGAGUGGAAUUCCAUGUGUAGCGGUGAAAUGCGUAGAUAUAUGGAGGAACACCGGUGGCGAAAGCGGCUCUCUGGUCUGUAACUGACGCUGAGGCUCGAAAGCGUGGGGAGCGAACAGGAUUAGAUACCCUGGUAGUCCACGCCGUAAACGAUGAGUGCUAGGUGUUAGGCCCUUUCCGGGGCUUAGUGCCGCAGCUAACGCAUUAAGCACUCCGCCUGGGGAGUACGACCGCAAGGUUG